rnacentral:lncRNA from 10 species
GGGCUCGGCAUGGCGGCUCACACCUAUAAUCCCAGCACUUUGGGAGGUUGAGGCAGGAAAAAGACUUGAGCCCAGGAGUUCGAGGCUGUAGUGAGUUCUGAUCAUGCCACUGCACUUCAGCCUGAGAGACAGAGCGAGACCCUGUCUCCAAAAAAAUUUGAAAACAGAUUUUUAAAAACUGUUUUGGAACCUCCUCAUACUUGAACAAAAAAAUUCCUCUUGUACAAAGGCUUUUCUCUAGAUUUAAUGUUGACUCUUUUAUCUUUCUUCAUAAGAUCUACUUUUAAUCCUUUGUUCUUUUUUGAAAAGACAGUAUUUCUUUUCUAUUUGCAUCCAGCCAUUUUUUUAUCCUAUAUUUGUGAAUUUGCAAAAUAAAAUAUAAGUUGUUUAAUUCUGCCCUUCUUUUCUUCAGACAGGGUCUUGCUCUGUUGCCUAGGAUGGAGUGCAGUGGUGCCAUCAAAGUUCACUGCAGCCUCGACCCCCUGGGCUCAAGUAAUCCUCUCACCUCCACCUCCCAAGUAGCUGGGACUACAGAUGCACGCCAUCACACCUGG